rnacentral:rRNA from 1 species
UACGUAGGGUGCAAGCGUUAAUCGGAAUUACUGGGCGUAAAGCGUGCGCAGGCGGCUUUGCAAGACAGAUGUGAAAUCCCCGGGCUUAACCUGGGAACUGCAUUUGUGACUGCAUGGCUGGAGUGCGGCAGAGGGGGAUGGAAUUCCGCGUGUAGCAGUGAAAUGCGUAGAUAUGCGGAGGAACACCGAUGGCGAAGGCAGCCCCCUGGGCCAACACUAACGCUCAGGCACGAAAGCGUGGGGAGCGAACAGG